GACGAACGCUGGCGGCGUGCCUAAUACAUGCAAGUAGAACGCUGAAGGAGGAGCUUGCUCUUCUGGAUGAGUUGCGAACGGGUGAGUAACGCGUAGGUAACCUGCCUGGUAGCGGGGGAUAACUAUUGGAAACGAUAGCUAAUACCGCAUAACAGUAGAUGUCGCGUGACACUUGCUUAAAAGGUGCAAUUGCAUCACUACCAGAUGGACCUGCGUUGUAUUAGCUAGUUGGUGAGGUAACGGCUCACCAAGGCAACGAUACAUAGCCGACCUGAGAGGGUGAUCGGCCACACUGGGACUGAGACACGGCCCAGACUCCUACGGGAGGCAGCAGUAGGGAAUCUUCGGCAAUGGACGGAAGUCUGACCGAGCAACGCCGCGUGAGUGAAGAAGGUUUUCGGAUCGUAAAGCUCUGUUGUAAGAGAAGAACGAGUGUGAGAGUGGAAAGUUCACACUGUGACG
rnacentral:rRNA from 1 species